UACGUAGGGUGCAAGCGUUGUACGGAAUUAUUGGGCGUAAAGAGCUCGUAGGCGGUCUGUCGCGUCGGCUGUGAAAAUCCCGGAGCUCAACUCCGGGUCUGCAGUCGAUACGGGCACACUGGAGUACUGCAGGGGGAGACUGGAAUUCCUGGUGUAGCGGUGAAAAUGCGCAGAUAUCAGGAGGAACACCGGUGGCGAAGGCGGGGUCUCUGGGCAGUAACUGACGCUGAGGAGCGAAAAGCGUGGGGGAGCGAACAGG
rnacentral:rRNA from 1 species